rnacentral:rRNA from 1 species
UACAGAGGGGGCAAGCGUUAUUCGGAAUUAUUGGGCGUAAAGGGCGCGUAGGCGGCUUGGCAAGUGGAAGGUGAAAUCCCUCGGCUUAACCGAGGAACUGCCCUCCAAACUGCUUUGCUUGAGGCCGGGAGAGGUGAGUGGAAUUCCCAGUGUAGAGGUGAAAUUCGUAGAUAUUCGGAAGAACACCAGUGGCGAAGGCGACUUACUGGACGACUGUUGACGCUGAGGUGCGAAAGCGUGGGGAGCAAACAGG